CAGAGGAGGCGGUUACUUCGACCUCUGCCUCGUCUUCUUGCUUCGUCGUCGGCGGAGCUGAUGGCGCGGCGAUUAAGGGAGAGCGGCCCUUUGAUCCCUCGUUCGUUCGUUCGUCAGCUUGGCCUUCUUCUCAAGGUUGAAUCCUGUCUUUCUCCUGACAUGUUCUUGAAUAUAACGAACGGGAACCAACGACGAAACCCUCUGUGUCGAUCAAGAUUCAAGGGGUUUUGUUGUGUCUGUUAAUCGAUCGACGAGCCGACCGCACACCGAUUCUGGAUCGGUUUCCUUCUUGUAAAGAACAGAGUUCUGGAUCGAUCCGGCAUGAAGAUGACGUGCUUCUGCGGAGCGGAUGGGUGGUGCGAUCUCGCUUGUGCUCGGUAGCCAUGACAAUCUAUGUUGCUAGCGAGGCUUUCAAGGUGCCAUGGAGACGUCUAUGGAGGUUCAACUUCUUGCGGAGAAGUGGAAGCUUCUGCUCGCUUGACUCUCUGUUUCAGUGUGUACAUGGUUUGGCAGCGCGUGGGAUGGACCGGACUUACUGGAUCUUGGAUUUAUGAUACUUUCGGAACCUGGGAAAGAAAGAGGUCGUACCUUCAUCCUUUUGCUCUUGCAUAGUGGUUUGUUAAUCUUAAUUUCUUUGUUAAGUCGCUGAUAGCUUGCAUGAUCUAUUGUAAAUGCGC